UUUUUUUGUUUUUUUUUUUUUAGAUGGAGUCUCACUCUGUCGUGGCCCAGGCUGGAGUGCAAUGGUGCAAUCUCUGCUCACUGCAACAUCUGCCUCCCUAGUUCAAGUGAUUCUCCCGAGUAACUGGGACUACAGGCCAUGCGCCAUCACGCCCAGCUAAUUUUUGUAUUUUUAGUAGAGACUAAAAAUGUUGGCCAGGCUGGUCUCGAACUCCCGACCUCAAGUUAUUCUCCUGCCUCGGCCUCCCAAAGUGCUGCGAAUCCAGGCGUGAGCCACCCCGCCUGGCAUUAUUUUGUAUUAAAAUAGUGUUUGUUGAUUCAUUGGGCAAAAUUGAUUCACUGGGCUUUGAGCAUAUAUGGUAGUGAGCAGAAGACAUUUUUAUUUACUGGAUUUUAAACAAUCAUUUUGUAAAGAGGUUUGAAUAAUGAGAAAAAUACCCUGCACCACAGGAUGCCAUUGGCACUCGCCCUCCUUCGUGGGACCCAGGUCCCCCUGUACCUGUCCUGCUGCCUGAGGCCACUGUGCCACCCCUGGAUGCUGCCCCUGUGGCCCUUGGGCUCCCCCGCCCUCCCCACCUCCUGGCUGCUGCCCAGGGCAGCCUGGGGUGAGGCAGUGCAGUGGCACAGAGUCAGCAACAAGGGCACAGCCACAUCUCCUACCCUGGAGGUUGGCUUGGGGGGCUCAGCGUGAAGGGGGUCAAAGGAGUAGCUGAGCACCCUUUGACCAGCCGGCCUCCUAGGACACAAGCAGGCUCCUAGGAGGAGUCUGACCUCUCAGUGCCUGAGCCUCUGUUUCCUGCACUGACAAAGCCCUUCCAUGGCUUUUCGCAUUUCUUUCUCAUAGCCACACCCAUGCAGAACUGAUGCACCAGCCAGGACCCUUUUGUGGGGGCCUGUCCCGGGUCACAGACCAGGUCUCUCUUUUGACCAUGGACACGGGGCAGCCAGGAAGGGGCUGUGCUGCCAGGCAAGUCCAUGCGUCCUGAAGGCACAGAGGCCCCUCCAGACUGCCCAUUUCAGGACCUUGUCAUGCAGCUGGAGUCAUGGGUGACACCAGCCCCGGGGCCAGGCAGUGGCUUGGCAAGCGUUGCAGCAGCCACACGGCAGUAAGAAAUUCUUUUUCUGUGCAUCCAGGUGGCUCCAGCCAGCACCGUCCUUUCCGUGUGGGGUGUGCCUGACACCCUCCUUUCCCCGUCCCAGAAAGGUGAAGAACCUGACCUCCCAAGUCCAUUCCGUGGCUGGCUGAUGGGCUGGGUCACAGAUCUAAACCCCUCAACCUGGCCUGUCCUGGAGCGGGCGGCCUUGGUGAGCACAGCUGCUGAAGGGGCAGCAAAUGCCAGUCGUGCCUGUCCUGGUCACUGGGGUCGCGUCUUUGCCCAGCCUGGCGCAGGCACUGGGCGGGGAGAAUGGGGCCUUGUGUCUCCAGCUCACAGCCGAGCUUUCAGAGCAUCAGACUGGGUUCAUUGUUCAGAACCGGGAAAACUAAAAACAGCAUUGAGAAUGGAACUUGGACCUUCUGGAAAUGACAGCUGAGUAAAGACUCAUUUAUUCUGCUUCCCUUCUUGAAACUCACUGCAGUGAACAAAGAGGAUGAAAAAUAGGGAACAAGAUUUAAUUCACAAUGGGCCUAAGGAAUAGCCAUGGCAAAGGAGGGUGUCGGCCAGACGGGAAGCAGUGACAGCCACAUCAGGUCCAGCAGGCUGGGUUUUUGUUUAACAAGAAUGGAUUUUUGGAGAUAGUGUUGAUGAGUAUUUUAAAAGAAUGGGGGUUGUGGCUCGGGGAAGCUGAGUAUAGGCAGACAUCUGGCAAGAUGAGGCAGAAGGCCCACGUGCUUCACUUUUCUAUAAGAUCCAGAUUCUCUUUUUUUUUCUAAUUUUUAGAAAAGGGGGCCUCACUUUGUUGCCCAGGUUAGAGCUCAGUACCAC
rnacentral:lncRNA from 1 species